GACAGAUGGCUUUGCCAUUUGAAUAAAUGAAAAAAUAAUCUCGGAAGAAAAUUAUAAUUUUUCUUAUCCACCAUAGAAGAAGAGCUCUUCUUCUACGCUGGCGUUUAACAGCAGCCAGCAUCCUUGUUGAUGCAUUCCUGCCACCUGCUGCAUCAGUCCGUUAUAGCAGCACUAAAUCCUCUCGAGUACAGUGACAGAUUUAUUUUUUUUUUUUCAUGCGAUCGACUGGAACUCAGCCCGUGAUUGGUUGGGCACGCCAGUUGUAUACAAACCGCUCCACACUGUUGUUGAUAAAUUUUGAACUUCUUGAAAUUAGCACCAUGUUCAGAGAUAAGCCUCGUUAGCCGAAUAAUCUGCCUCUAAGAGCAUCUCAGAGCCACUAUUCUCCCACGUUUGUUGAAUAACUGGACUCAUAACAAAAACAUGAUACGUGGCUCAUUAUUCGUCCUUCAUUAUUCGUUGGGUCCAGGACUAUACAUACAGUUGUGGUUGCAAAGCCUCGGUCUCACCGAAUAAUAAGUCAUGAAUAAUGAACCACGCAUGGGUUUGUCAGUGAUUAUUUGAAGAAUAGUCCACGUUUUAAGCCGUCAUGUAUCCACUACUAAGCCACAACUGACCUGUCAUUUGAGUGCCGUCCAGCCUUGAGUGGCUCGUGUCACCGCAUAUGAUCCACGUCAAGCCACAUAUGGUCCAUGUAGCACCAUGAUACUGCAAUGUUGGUGCACAUUUAGACAUGGGUUUGGUCCAUACAUCCGGCCCUCCCACACCUGGUCUCUUUAAAGUGUGGGUUCAAUUCACAGCAUCCAUUCAAGAUGUCACAUUUUUU